GCCGAAGUGGUGGAACUGGCAGACGCGCUGGACUCAAAAUCCAGUGGCCGCAGAGGCCGUGCGGGUUCGACUCCCGCCUUCGGCACCA
rnacentral:tRNA from 1 species